rnacentral:rRNA from 1 species
CCGGCACGGGUGCGUAACGCGUAUGCAACCUACCUUUAACAGGGGAUAACACUGAGAAAUCCGGACUAAUACCCAUAAUAUGGGCGCUCCGCAUGGAGAGUCCAUUAAAGAGAGCAAUCUUGGUUACAGACGAGCAUGCGCUCCAUUAGCCAGUUGGCGGGGUAACGGCCCACCAAGGCGACGAUGGAUAGGGGUUCUGAGAGGAAGGUCCCCCACAUUGGAACUGAGACACGGUCCAA